rnacentral:lncRNA from 1 species
GGCCGAUUCCUUAUCGGCAAAAGAUUACCGAUUGGGACCCUGGUGCAUUCGACCCAAAGCGAGACAAAAGUCACCGGCCGAUCUCACACUGUAGCACCGUUUGGCCGAUUCCCAACUGUGCUUCUCCGAUUCCUCCUCUUCUUGGCGCCGAUUCUACUAGUGACGAAAUCCGGCGUCAACACAUGCCCCCCAGUUUCGGAGUAAAACAUAGUCUUUUACUUCGAAAUUCUUUAUAACUUCCCCU